rnacentral:rRNA from 1 species
AUUGAACGCUAGCGGCAGGCCUAACACAUGCAAGUCGAACGAGUGGCGGACGGGUGAGUAAUGUCUGGGAAACUGCCUGAUGGCGGGGGAUAACUACUGGAAACGGUAGCUAAUACCGCAUACCAUCGGAUGUGCCGAGAUGGGAUUAGCUAGUUGGUGGGGUAACGGCUCACCUAGGCGACGAUCCCUAGCUGGUCUGAGAGGACGACCAGCCACACUGGGACUGAGACACGGGCCAGACUCCUACGGGAGGCAGCAGUGGGGAAUAUUGGACAAUGGGCGAAAGCCUGAUGCAGCCAUGCCGCGUGUAUGAAGAAGGCCUUCGGGUUGUAAAGUACUUUCAGCGGGGAGGCGUUACCCGCAGAAGAAGCACCGGCUAACUCCGUGCCAGCAGCCGCGGUAAUAC